GCUCUGCCUGGGUGGCAGAGGCAGCUUUCCCAGCAAUGGGGAAUUAAUCCCUGCCUGCAGGAGAGCGAUGACUGAAAGGCAGGCAGCUGGUGGCACCUUGUGCCUGUUGUUUGGACAGGCCUUCCCCUUGGUUUACUGUGCAGCAGAGAGGAGCAAAGUCGAAGGACCAAUUGCUCGUGCAUUUAUCGCACAUGGAAAGGCAGCAAGGGGAUUUUUUAGCAAUAGAAAUGGCCUGGCCGCUGGAUCAGCAUGGGGUGGGCACAGGCUCUGUGCUGGUUCUGCUGUACCAACUGGUCUUAGCACAACUCCUCCCUGCCCAGAAUCCAAGACCUGGCCUCUGUCUGUGCUAUCAAGUUCAUAAGUGACAGAAGUGUGUUAACAGCUCACUUAAAAAUUUACUACUUGUUGUUGUUUAUUACAAGAGGUAAAAACAAAUGUGCUUUCCAAGCAAAAGGCAAAA